GGAACUAUGCUGGAUUAAUAAUCCAAUACUAUGGUCAGUGAAGCGCGUGGGCAACAGAAGUCAGGAAGGAAACAAUCACGGAGCACCAACUGCCCGCAACCCCCCACUACUCCACAGCAUCUGCGGCUUCCCCGUGGGCUCUGCUACACAUCCAGAGUAAUUCCGACACGCCUGAGAACACGAGGUCGAGCAACUUUGUGUAUGACGAUGGGAACCAACCCCUCCUGCAUGUGAAGAGUGGGGAGAAGAAGAGCUUGCUGGGAUGCUCACAGCAGACAGGCAACCGUGCACACGCCCAGGAACGCUCAGUGACAGCUCAGGGGCCGGCCAGGCCACUGGUACCACAGUCCCUCAUAGGUACCUUAUAUACAGCAUUACUUUUAUUUGGAUUCCCUUUUUGUCUUUUGUUUCCAUACUGGUUUUACUUAAUACCUGAAUAAUCUACACAGAAACUUGAUUUAACCUACUUCCUGUAAAGCUUAUGCAUGUACAGCUGAAAUGAUGACACUGGCAUUUAAACUAGUCAUGUGCUAAAUCUUAACAGUAUAUCUUGAGAAAUCUGAAGUCACGUGAAAGAAAACAUUUAAAACUACUUUCGGAAGUGACUCCUAUGUAUGCAGCAAAUUCAUCUAUCUACGCACACACAUACAGAAGACAGCUUGGGAAUGACUGGGAAUAGAGUAACUGCGGUUAACUGUAGCUCUCACUAAACUAUGAACGUAACUGUGGUGAAAAUGCUACUCUGCCCACAAGGAAGACCCGCUAUGAGGAGACGGCAGCCCUCUGGCGUGGGACCGCUGGGCCCUGUGCGGAGGCCCCUCCC